GAUUCGUUCCCUCUCCUCCUGUUCCUUUGCUUUGCUGAGAGCAGGAAGUGCUCUUCUAGACCCCAGAGCAUAAGGGAGGUAUCACCAUGUUCAUAAGCUUCUGCAAGCAUAGAAGGUGGAGACAUAAUUAUUGGUUUCCGGCACUGGAUGAGCUGAUAGGACCAAGAACUUUGGUGGUGAGGACUUUCUUUUCCUGGUCUUCUGUGGCUGCGGCUGAUGAGGGAAAGGGCAACAUCUGCGGCAGAAGAUGCUGGGACCCCUGCUUGGAUCUGGACUGGAAACUCUUGGAAAACAGUGGAGUGCUUUUACCUCUAUCCCUCAGUAUCCUUGUGGAGAAAAAAGCAGGAGAGGAAGGGAGAGAGGGAAAGGGGAGCUCCCCUGAGAGGUGGUCACAGAAGUGCAUCCAGAAAAUAAUAAGAUGUUUCCUUACUCCUGAGGGACUGAUUGUUGUUUGAUUAGGGGGAAGGGGAGAAGAGCAGGGAAGGACAGCCUCCAGGGGGAGGAGGUACUCUCUGGUGUGAUGGUACCAUCUUGAGGAUGGGGUCAUGCUUUGUGGCAGUCUUCUGGAAGGAGUCUGGUUUCCCCUAUAGAUUUUUGCUUUCUACAGCUGUGAUCCCCGUGCCCUACUUCCCCGUGUAGAUAUGGCUGUCAAUAAGUGAAGUUGUUGUCUAGGUGCUCAAUUUAUGUCUCAGGAACGAUCCGUGGGUCAGCCAGAAAUGUUUGGGGAAAACAACCCCUUAUUGAGUCCUGGUGCUGAGAAUGACACGUAAAACAAUGAGCAUCAGCUCGAUGCAAAGAUUUAUUGUUCUAAAGUGUUUUUUUGAGAGUGGAUUUCUAAUGCUGUGAUUCCGAGUGGCCUCCCUGGAGCUGGCCCAGUUCCAUAUCAGAGGUCAGGGCAAAAUAUUUCUGGGAGUGUUUAUCAGGAAGAAAAACAAGCUGGUGGUAGGCAAAUAUUAUUUGGGGACACAAAUGUACAAACUUUCCUAAAAAAAAUUACUGUCAUUAUUUUUCUAUGAAUACAUUCUAUAAGGUUACAGUCUCCCUUUAAUGGAGACUAUAAGGCUUAAUCUCAUAACAAUUGGGUUUCCAUGCAUAAAUUCUGUAAGCUACAAUCUCCCUUAAGGGAUCUCAAGACCACAAGGCUCAAUCUUAUGACUGGUCAGCUGGGGAAAACCUCAGUUGGGAUGCCUGCCAAGUGGUCACUCUGCCCUAGUUAUGCUGAAAUUCUUAGCUUUGUCUCUAGCAGGCUGACUCUGGUGCCCUUGGACCUGGGGAUUGCUUGAGACAUUUAUUCUCAGAAGGUUUCCUCUUACAACCCAAAAUAUAUAUUGUUAAAUUAGAGUAGGUUAAAAUAGAGUAUGGAUAUCAAUUUGGACUAGUUUGAGGAGUGAAAUUGUGAGCCUGAGCUCCUAAGGAGCCUUUGUGGAACACAGUUAUCCUUAGGAAUAGAUUGGGGCAUCAACUCCAUUAUCUCUUGAGGUUUUUAGCCCAACAUCCUGUGAUUAUGUGUCUGUGACUGAUUGAAAGCAACAUCUACUGAACUCCUGGCAGAAAUGAUAAUGUGUGGGUGAGCAGACAGUAGAGAGCAGCCUGGGCAUGUUCAGGGUUCACCCAGUUUUCACUUGGUCUCAAGAAAAUAUCUCCUUCCACCCAACCACCCAAUCAUCCAUCCCCCCCCCCCAAUCAUCCAUCCACCCACCCAUCCAUCCGCCCAACUACCCACCUAUUUACCCACUUAUCUGCCUACCCACCCAUUUAUCCAUCCAUCCACCCAUCCACUCACCCACUUAUCUGCUUACCCACCCAUUUAUCCAUUCAUCUCUCCACCCAUCUACAAGCAUUUAUUAAAUGCCUUUUCUGAGCCAGUCUUGGUGUUGGCUUCAAAAGGCAUCGACACUAAUGGAGGAUGGCCCAUAUACAAGAUCUGUACAAAAUGAAUGCAAGGUAGUUUGGGGAGAGGGUAUGUACUUGCAACAGAGUGGACUAUGGAAGGCUUUGUCCAGAAUGCUUGAGCUGAGUCUUAAAGGAGACUGGAGUCUUUGGAACCUGAGGUAGCAGGUUGACUCAACAAAUUGCUCCUGGGUGUGGCUGGAGCGGGUUCUUUUAUUAUAAAAACAUAAGCUCUGUGAAUCCAGGUGCUUAAUACCUGUCUGCCCUCCUGGCCCAGAAGCUCAUGAUCUUGGCAUUUCCUGCCUGACAGGUUCUUCUGGAUCCUCAGGGUAUCAUCAAGCCAUCUUUCUGCUCACACUCUUAGGGCUACACCCUCUUUUCCUUACUGCCCCUUGACUUCACAGAGGCUUCCUAAUUUCCCCCAGGUUUCUCAGAGCCCCCAAGGGAGAGCUGAUGUUAGCCCCCUCCAUUUCUCACUGUUCUUGAGCUGACGCAGCACAAUCUAUUUCCCUCCUUGAGAUGUCAGGGCCCUGGUUUCUCAGCUAGGAUCUCUCUAUCCCCAGAAUGAAUCCAUUGAAUUAGGAUUCUGUUCAUCUCCUUAUCACCAUCAGCUGCACCAGCUUUAGUUCUGUCUGUCACUACCAACUAUUGCCUCUGACUGUUUCCACCUAUAAUGAUCAUCACUGAUAACCAAUAACUUCCACUACUGGAUACCACUAUGUGUACAUGCCCUGGAUCAUAGGAUCAUGUAGCACUGAAAGGAACCUGAAUUCAAUCUCCCUAUUUAAAUAUGAGGAAACUGAGGUCCAGAAAGGUCAUGUCUUUUGCUUGGGAUCACAAAGUAAGUCUGUAUUGGAAAUCAGGUUUUCCUAACUCCAAGUUCUCCAGUGCUUUAGUCACCACACUGUGCUGAGGGAUGCAUUUUUACAAAAUUCUAAGUUCUUUAAACAUACAACUUAUUCUCCAGUAGCCGCCAUUUUUGUCCAUGAGCAAUCUAAGUUUGAACUGUUAUACCUGCUCACUCUAGAAGUACUGUCUCUUGUGAAAAUCUACUGAUGAGAUCUACUGAUAUAUUACCACUACUGAGUGGUAAGUCUCUAUCCUGAACUCAUGAAGGGUCCCAGCUCUACUCAUUUCAAUCUGAACUUGAGUUUCUCCCUAAAUUUUCUACCUUCUCAUCACCUUUUCUAUCUCUUUACCUUCUGCCUCCACUUUGUUUUGUCUUCCUCCAUUAGAAUGUGAGCUUGAGAGUAAGGGUUGUCUAUAUGCUUGUCCCUUUUUACAUAGUAAAUUUCCCUAUCAUGGUUUUGAUAUAGCAGAUGUUGGCAGAGGAAAUGAGGAUUUAAAAAAAUAGCUUUUUAUUUUCAAAAUCA